rnacentral:misc_RNA from 1 species
GAUGAAGAACGCAGCGAAAUGCGAUAAGUAAUGUGAAUUGCAGAAUUCAGUGAAUCAUCGAAUCUUUGAACGCACAUUGCGCCCCCUGGUAUUCCGGGGGGCAUGCCUGUUCGAGCGUCAUUACAACCCUCAAGCUCUGCUUGGUGUUGGGCCCCGCCGCCCCGGCGGGCCCUAAAAUCAGUGGCGGUGCCGUCCGGCUCCGAGCGUAGUAAUUCUUCUCGCUCUGGAGGUCCGGGUGUGUGCUCGCCAGCAACCCCCAAUUUUUUUCAGGUUGACCUCGGAUCAGGUAGGGAUACCCGCUGAACUUAGGCAUAUCAAUAAGCGGAGGA